rnacentral:rRNA from 1 species
GACGAGGGCGCGAGCGUUGGUCCGGAUUAUUGGGCGUAAAGAGCUGCGUAGGCGGCUUGUCGCGUCGAAUUGUGAAAACCUGCAGCUCAACUGCCAGGGCUUGCAUUCGAUACGGGCAGGCUCGAGUUCGGUAGGGGAGACUGGAAUUCCGUGGUGAGCGGUGAAAUGCGCAGAUAUCAGGAGGAACACCGGUGGCGAAGGCGGAUCUCUGGGCCAUUACUGACGCUGAGGAGCGAAAGCGUGGGGAGCGAACAGG